GACGAACGCUGGCGGCGUGCUUAACACAUGCAAGUCGAACGGAAAGGCCCUGCGCUUGUGGGGUGCUCGAUAGGCGAACGGGGGAGUAACACGUGAGUAACCUGCCCUUGUCUGUGGGAUAACUUCAGGAAACUGGGGCUAAUACCGGAUAGGAGCUCCUGCUGCACGGGGGGGGUUGGAAAGUUUCGGCGGUUGGGGAUGGACUCGCGGCUUAUCAGCUUGUUGGUGGGGUAGUGGCUUACCAAGGCUUUGACGGGUAGCCGGCCUGGGAGGGUGGCCGGCCACCUUGGGACUGCGGUACGCCCCAGACUCCUACGGGAGGCAGCGGUCGGGAGUAUUGCGCAAUGGGCGGAAGCCUGAUGCGGCAACGCCGCGUGCGGGAUGCCGGCCUUCGGGUUGUAAACCGCUUUCGCCUGUACCGUAGCGUGAGUGACGGUAAUGGGUCAGGAAGCACCGGCUAACUACGUG
rnacentral:rRNA from 1 species